AAGACUUCACCGAACACAUGCAAAUUAGAGUCUUGGGUAACUACUGCCUGAUAGCAGGCUAACCCUUAACUACUGCCUGAUAACAAGCUAACCACUGCCUGUUAUCAGACUAACAAUCAAAUCCUCUAACCUUGAGGCAGUCAUCUCGUUGCCGCGGUGCAGCUUUCGUUAUCAAGGUACAUCGGCAGGUUAACCGUCGAUCGCGAGAUACAUUUUAUCCACUAAUGUUCACAAUAAUCCUGAAGUGUUCGUUGUAAUCCAUCAAUGUUCAUAGUAACCCAUUAAUGUUCAUAAGAAUCCAGUAAUGUUCACAUGGUAUCGAUCUCCAGUAAUUGGUAUUUAUCCAUUGAUAUCCGCUACGACUCCCACUGGACCUCCCAUCGGACACCUCAAAUGACGUUUUGGUCAGUUUUAAAUUCUAUUGGUUAUUUUUUUUUAAAUACAAUUAUAUAUCUGCGAGCAACACAUUAACUAGUCAAAAACCAUGAAAUUCUUGAAAGAUUAAACCUCAAAGAAUGUUUAUAUCAAAGAUAUUCAAGCCAAAAUCCCAAAGUCUGCAUCAAAAUGGUAACGGGAAAACGCUGAAUAAAACCAUACAGACAAAAAACCGACCACAAAUCAAAGUUUGGUGGUACUUCGGCUUGAUCUUUCCAGGCCUACAGGCGAGCUGUCCCAAUCUCAUGCCACGAACAAAAAGCACCGAUGUAAGGUUGGCCAGACCUUGCACCUGUGCUAGUUGAUCACGACAAUCGAUCAGAGCAACUCGACUGUAGGUCGGAAAAGUCCGAGCCGAAGUACCGCCAAGCCUCGACGAAUGGUCGGUCACUCAUCUGGCAUAAUUUUACCUAGCGUUUAAACCAAAUACCAAAGUGAUGUAAAUUUUAAAAUUUCAUUUCAA